AGGGUUUUGGUGUGCUAAGGUGUUUUGAAUAAAAUUUUAAAUAUCUAGGUAUUCUGCUGUGCCACCAUAACCCAACACAGAUUCAACCUGCUGGCAGUGGGCUGCAAAGAAGAAGGACCAAGCAGACUGCAAGUUGCAGGCUGCGGGCUCUAGCGGGUCUAUCCAAAGGAAUCAUGGUGCUGUGGCAUCGUAGCUCGGUUAGGGUUGAUAUUUUCCAUGGCUAUGAGCAACAGGUUGCUCUAGUCAUCUCGAAGCAGACCGGAGGGCCCUGGCUAUUAUCUGAUGUGUAUGCUAGCAUCA
rnacentral:lncRNA from 1 species